UACAGAGGGGGGCAAGCGUUGUUCGGAAUUACUGGGCGUAAAGGGCGCGUAGGCGGCCUGCUAAGUCGAACGUGAAAUCCCUGGGCUCAACCCAGGAACUGCGUCCGAUACUGGUUGGCUUUGAAUCCGGGAGAGGGACGUGGAAUUCCAGUGUAGCGGUGAAAAUGCGCAGAUAUCAGGAGGAACACCGGUGGCGAAGGCGGUUCUCUGGGGCCUGUACUGACGUGAGGGAGCGAAAAGCGUG
rnacentral:rRNA from 1 species